AGUGAGUUUCUACACCUAAUCUCCAUUUUUUUUAAAAUGGAGAUCCAUUUACAUAAAAGACCUGUAUAAUAUAUACACACACAGUGCAGAAAAUUUGAUUCGGUUAAGAGUAGUUAGGUUACCAAAUUGUUUGGCAAAAAGACAAAAGACAAGAAGUUGAGAGCCGUCAGGGCAUUUAUCAGCCUUUAGAUCUUCGCUAGUGAGAGAGUAGAGGUACCGAACUAUAUCCCAUCGGUCAUACAUAGCAGCGAUGAGAAUCGGAAUCAUUUGGCGGCCCUCUUCGGCAAUACCAAGUAGUUUCUUGCUCUUCGUAACCAUGCAUUUUACCAUCUUGAGGUUGUCUCUAGCAGCAUAAGCAAGAGCCGUCCAACCAUGAACAUCUUUAAUCUCCAACUGUUCCUCCGUCAUCAACUGCACCAGCUUCUUCCACUAUUUGCUCGUGCCCGAAUAUUACUGCGUUGUGAAGAGCUGUCCCCAGUGAAUCCGUAUUGUUAAUGCAUUGGGUAGGGAAAGAAGCUCAUCCAUCUCAGACCAUACACCUAUCCUUACAGCAGUGAAGAAAUCUCGAUACUGCCAGCAGGAUCCCAUCUGUAAGGAUCAUGAUCAUGUGUUUAUAUAUGAAUUCAAGGAAGAAAAAGUGAAGCAAGUAUAAGAAAUAACAACUCACAAGUUGCUUUUUUCUCGGUUGAACUGUGCUUUCAAAGUAUCCCAAGCAGCUUUGGCGGUGGUUUUAUCACGGAUAUAAGUAAAAGUACCGGGCCCACAAGAAAGUUGGAUUGCAUGCAAAGCUUCGGCAUUAUUCUUCCUCCAAGCCUUAAACUUGGGUUUACUGGUUGUUUCAACAACGUCCCAAAGAUCUUUAGAGAGCAGAUAGGUUUUGACGCGAACACUCCAAUCCUUAUAAUCGUGUUCUCCGUUGAGGAUUUGAGGAACAAUUGCAUUACUAGACGCAGCUGCCAUGCUUCUAAAUCUGUCAAUUUUUCCAAACCAGAUUUUAUUAGUUAGAUCACGAUCAUGUAUGUGUAUGAGAAAAUAAAGAAAGAAAUACUAAGCCAAGUAUAAGGAAUUAACUACUUACAAUUGAAAUGGGGAAGCCUUCAGAAAAUGCUUCAGCUUGAAUUGGUGAUCUGUAGCAUUGGCGCUGCAACAUAUAUAGAUAUACUAAUAUAGUCAAGGAUAAGAUAUCAUAUUGUGCUGAUAAUUUCAUUUUGCAAUCCAGAUUCCCCUUUUCAAUACGAAGUUGUACUUUAUUUUAAGAAUUUGUUAUUAGUACUCUAAAAAUCUCAUUUUGUAGUCUAAACUUUCUAUAAUUAGAAAAAAAACAUUUGUGAGGA